rnacentral:rRNA from 1 species
AUUGAACGCUGGCGGCAGGCCUAACACAUGCAAGUCGAACGGAGUGGCGGACGGGUGAGUAAUGCCUAGGAAUAUGCCUGGUAGGGGGGGAUAACGUCCGGAAACGGGCGCUAAUACCGCAGACUAUCAGAUGCGUCUAGGUCGGAUUAGCCAGUUGGUGGGGUAAAGGCCUACUAAGGCGCCGAUCCGUAACUGGUCUGAUGGGAUGAUCAGUAACACGGGAACGUAGACACGGUCCAGACUCCUACGGGAGGCAGCGUUGGGGAAUCUUGGACAAUGGGCGAAAGCCUGAUCCAGCCAUGCCGCGUGUGUGAAGAAGGUCUUCGGAUUGUAAAGCACUUUAAGUUGGGAGGCGUUACCAACAGAAUAAGCACCGGCUAACUCCGUGCCAGCCGCCGCGGUAAUUC